AGUGAACGCUGGCGGUAGGCCUAACACACGCAAGUCGAACGGCAGCACAGAGGAGCUUGCUCCUUGGGUGGCGAGUGGCGGACGGGUGAGGAAUACAUCGGAAUCUACUCUGUCGUGGGGGAUAACGUAGGGAAACUUACGCUAAUACCGCAUACGACCUACGGGUGAAAGCAGGGGACCUUCGGGCCUUGCGCGAUUGAAUGAGCCGAUGUCGGAUUAGCUAGUUGGCGGGGUAAAGGCCCACCAAGGCGACGAUCCGUAGCUGGUCUGAGAGGAUGAUCAGCCACCCUGGAACUGAGACACGGUCCAGACUCCUACGGGAGGCAGCAGUGGGGAAUAUUGGACAAUGGGCGCAAGCCUGAUCCAGCCAUACCGCGUGGGUGAAGAAGGCCUUCGGGUCGUAAAGCCCUUUUGUUGGGAAAGAAAUCCAGCUGGCUAAUACCCGGUUGGGAUGACGGUACCCAAAGAAUAAGCACCGGCUAACUUCGUGCCAGCAGCCGCAGUAA
rnacentral:rRNA from 1 species